rnacentral:tRNA from 1 species
GCCCGAAUGGCGGAAUAGGUAGACGCAAAGGACUUAAAAUCCUUCGGAGGUAACUCCGUGCCGGUUCGAGUCCGGCUUCGGGCA